UACACAUGCAAGUCGAGCGGAGACAGUGAGUAGCUUGCUAUGAGCUGUUUUAGCGGCGGACGGGUGAGUAACGCGUGAGCAACCUUUCCCAGACAGGGGAAUAACACACCGAAAGGUGUACUAAUACCGCAUAAGACCACGGGAUCACAUGGUUCUGGGGUAAAAGAUUUAUCGGUUUGGGGUGGGCUCGCGUCCGAUUAGGUAGUUGGUGAGGUAACGGCCCACCAAGCCGACGAUCGGUAGCCGACCUGAGAGGGUGAUCGGCCACAUUGGGACUGAGACACGGCCCAAACUCCUACAGGAGGCAGCAGUGGGGAAUAUUGGGCAAUGGGGGGAACCCUGACCCAGCAACGCCGCGUGGAGGAAGAAGGUUUUCGGAUCGUAAACUCCUGUCCUUGGAGACGAGUAGAAGACGGUAUCCAAGGAGGAAGCCCCGGCUAACUACGUGCCAGCAGCCGCGGUAAUACGUAGGGGGCAAGCGUUGUCCGGAAUAAUUGGGCGUAAAGGGCGCGUAGGCGGCUCGGUAAGUCUGGAGUGAAAGUCCUGCUUUUAAGGUGGGAAUUGCUUUGGAUACUGUCGGGCUUGAGUGCAGGAGAGGUUAGUGGAAUUCCCAGUGUAGCGGUGAAAUGCGUAGAGAUUGGGAGGAACACCAGUGGCGAAGGCGACUAACUGGACUGUAACUGACGCUGAGGCGCGAAAGUGUGGGGAGCAAACAGGAUUAGAUACCCUGGUAGUCCACACUGUAAACGAUGAAUGCUAGGUGUAGGGG
rnacentral:rRNA from 1 species